AAAUCAUGCGAUGAAGAAAAAAACUGCAACAAAAUGAUCGAUUAAUUUCGUGAUUACUUGUAUUUAAGUCUCUGAUGAUU
rfam:Populus trichocarpa isolate Nisqually-1 chromosome 2, whole genome shotgun sequence.